AUACAGAGGGUGCGAGCGUUAAUCGGAAUUACUGGGCGUAAAGCGCGCGUAGGCGGCUUAUUAAGUCAGAUGUGAAAUCCCCGGGCUCAGCAUGGGAACUGCAUCUGAUACUGGUAAGCUAGAGUUUUGGAGAGGGAAGUAGAAUUUCAGGUGUAGCGGUGAAAUGCAUAGAGAUCUGAAGGAAUACCAGUGGCGAAGGCGACUUCCUGGCCAAAAACUGACGCUGAGGUGCGAAAGCGUGGGUAGCAAACGGGAUUAGAAACCCUAGUAGUCC
rnacentral:rRNA from 1 species